AACGAACGCUGGCGGCAGGCCUAACACAUGCAAGUCGAACGCAUCCUUCGGGGUGAGUGGCAGACGGGUGAGUAACACGUGGGAACGUGCCUUUCGGUUCGGGAUAACCCAGGGAAACUUGGGCUAAUACCGGAUACGCCCUUUUUGGGGAAAGAUUUAUUGCCGGAAGAUCGGCCCGCGUCUGAUUAGCUAGUUGGUGAGGUAAUGGCUCACCAAGGCGACGAUCAGUAGCUGGUCUGAGAGGAUGAUCAGCCACACUGGGACUGAGACACGGCCCAGACUCCUACGGGAGGCAGCAGUGGGGAAUAUUGGACAAUGGGCGCAAGCCUGAUCCAGCCAUGCCGCGUGAGUGAUGAAGGCCCUAGGGUUGUAAAGCUCUUUCGGCGGGGACGAUAAUGACGGUACCCGCAGAAGAAGCCCCGGCUAACUUCGUGCCAGCCGCCGCAGUAAGAC
rnacentral:rRNA from 1 species